GCGCAGAGGUGAAGUCUCGGCUAAAGCCGGCUUAGGGCACUGUGGCCUGAAUAAACCAAAGAGAAGAUCCACCGUGCCAGCUUCGUGGGCCCCCUGGGAACCGCGCCUGGGAGCGGAUGCUGCUGCCCAGGCGGAACGUGCCGAGUCCCGCGCUCCGAGGCAGCGGGGCACCGCCCGCCUCCGCCCCGCCCCUCGUCUUCGGCUGGUCCAAUCCCACGGCCUUCAUGUAAAUGAGGCUCUGAGAGCGAGCCUACCACCGCCCAGCAGCGUUUUGAUUCAUUGUUAAAAUGUAAAGGCCGUGACCCUGGUACUCGCACCCCGCAGCCCCAGUGCGUGGAAACCCGAGCCCAGGGAAAUGAAUGGCGUUCUCUGUCCAAGGCGGCCCUCCUUUAUGUGGACCAACCGGGAAAGAACCGCCCAGGUGGUGCGGAGCAUCUGUCCACCGUUGGCCACAGGGAGCGAGGCGGGGAGAUGACUGCCCCGUGAAGAUCCGAGGCUCCUAUGCCACGGGCGGGCUAGUGGGUGCCCCACCCUGUCCCCUCUGCGGUCCUCUCUCCUGGGGAGGAGAUGGAGCCUUCCCCUGCUGCCCCCGUGGAGACAUGAAAUUCCACAGCUCUCAGCUGAGAUUGACAACCAAGGCCUGAUCCCUUGGGAGCUUUGGAGGAAAGUCACCAGGUCCGGCCCCUUCUAGAAGGUCAGCCAGUGGCUCACAGGAGCUGCCCUGGCCUGGCUCACCCAACAUGGAGCAUGAGGCUGAGGAGGUCUCCUGGGAACCCUUCGAGGCCAAUAUGCUUACCCAGAGCUGCUGUCAAAACUGCCUCCACCCUGAGGAGGCCCAUGGAGCAAGACACCAGGAGCUGGGGAGCCCUUCCAGUGCUGAGGCGCCCUACUGCGACCUGCCCCGCUGCCCACCAGCCCCUGAGGACCUGCUCGGCGCCUCCACCUCCGAUUGCCAGGGGCCCAAGAGGGGCCUGUCCCUGACAGCAGGGCUUCCUGAGGAGGACCCCACAGCUGCCCCCAGGAGCAGGCACCAGGAGCUGGAGGCAGUGCCCUAUCUGGAGGGCCUGGCCCCCUCCCCGAGUGGCAGCUGCUACGAGGACCCCAACUCUGACACCAGCUGCAGCCCUGGCACUUCCACCCAUGACACCGGCAGGUCGUCCUCUGUGGACUGCGACACUGUGGAGAGGUGGGCGGAAGUCCCCAGCUGGGACCUGCUCGCGAUGAUCCCGCAGAGGCCCCAGGAGGGGCAAAGAGCCGAAGGUGCCCGAAGGGCCACCAGGUCCCCUACAAGAGGAGACACUGCAGGCCAGAAAAAGGAUGAUUCGGGCGCUGGGAGCCGCUGUGCCGCACAGCACUGGGCCAAGCUCCGGGGAGAAGGCCGGUACUUCUCCUUGGAGCGACAGCACUCAGCCCCUGCCCAGGCUUCCUCUGCGACACCACAGCACAGACCUCACAGCGCCACCACCCAGGCCUCUGCUCAGGCUGCUUCAGCACAGCGCGAAGCCCCCCGGGCCUCCUCCCCCCACCGAGUCGCUCAGAAGGACAGCCCUAGGCCCUCUUCCACCCAGCAGGACGCCCCCAGGGCCUCCCUCACCCAGCGGAAUACCCAGGCGACGUCAUUGCCCGCCAGAGUGAGCCCGCGGGCUAGCCCCGGAACCUCAUCCACCCAAGGACACCGUCCUCAACCGUCCUCUCCCCUCAGAGCUGCCCAGGAAGACAACCUCGGAACCUCUGCUCAACAGGACAGCCCACAGUCCUCAGUUCCCACUUCUCAGCGGGAGACCCCCAGGACAUCCUGUGCCCAGCGGGACAACCCCAGAGCCUCCUCCCCGAGCAGAGCCACCCAGCGGGACAACCCCAGAGCAUCUUCCCCCAGCAGAACCACCCAGAGGGACACCCCCAGAACCUCCUGUGCUCAGCGGAACAACCCCAGAACUUCCUCCCCGAGCAGAGCCACCCAGAGGGACACCCCCAGAGCAUCCUCCCCCAACAGAACCACC
rnacentral:lncRNA from 1 species